GACGAACGCUGGCGGCGUGCCUAACACAUGCAAGUCGAGCGGAGACAGAUUGUAGCUUGCUAUGAACUGUUUUAGCGGCGGACGGGUGAGUAACGCGUGAGCAACCUUUCUCUCAGUGGGGGAAUAACCCAGGGAAACUUGUACUAAUACCGCAUGAGACCACACUACCGCAUGGUAGAGGGGUCAAAGAUUAAUCGCUGAGAGGUGGGCUCGCGUCUGAUUAGAUAGUUGGUGGGGUAACGGCCUACCAAGUCGACGAUCAGUAGCCGACCUGAGAGGGUGAUCGGCCACAUUGGGACUGAGACACGGCCCAA
rnacentral:rRNA from 1 species